AGAGUUUGAUCAUGGCUCAGAUUGAACGCUGGCGGCAGGCUUAACACAUGCAAGUCGAGCGGAAACGAUGGGAGCUUGCUCCCAGGCGUCGAGCGGCGGACGGGUGAGUAACACUUAGGAAUCUACCUAGUAGUGGGGGAUAGCUCGGGGAAACUCGAAUUAAUACCGCAUACGACCUACGGGAGAGAGGGGGCAACUUGUUGCUCUCGCUAUUAGAUGAGCCUAAGUCGGAUUAGCUAGUUGGUGGGGUAAAGGCCUACCAAGGCGACGAUCUGUAGCUGGUCUGAGAGGAUGAUCAGCCACACCGGGACUGAGACACGGCCCGGACUCCCACGGGAGGCAGCAGUGGGGAAUAUUGGACAAUGGGGGCAACCCUGAUCCAGCCAUGCCGCGUGUGUGAAGAAGGCCUUUUGGUUGUAAAGCACUUUAAGCAGUGAAGAAGACCAUACGGUUAAUACCCGUAUGCGAUGACAUUAGCUGCAGAAUAAGCACCGGCUAACUCUGUGCCAGCAGCCGCGGUAAUACAGAGGGUGCAAGCGUUAAUCGGAAUUACUGGGCGUAAAGCGAGCGUAGGUGGCUUGAUAAGUCAGAUGUGAAAUCCCCGGGCUUAACCUGGGAACUGCAUCUGAUACUGUUAGGCUAGAAUAGGUGAGAGGAAGGUAGAAUUCCAGGUGUAGCGGUGAAAUGCGUAGAGAUCUGGAGGAAUACCGAUGGCGAAAGCAGCCUUCUGGCAUCAUAUUGACACUGAGGUUCGAAAGCGUGGGUAGCAAACAGGAUUAGAUACCCUGGUAGUCCACGCCGUAAACGAUGUCUACUAGUCGUUGGGUCCCUUGAGGACUUAGUGACGCAGCUAACGCAAUAAGUAGACGCCUGGGGAGUACGGCCGCAAGGUUAAACUCAAAGGAAUUGACGGG
rnacentral:rRNA from 1 species